rnacentral:lncRNA from 1 species
ACCCGCCGUCUCUCCCUCCCUGCGCCUUCCCUCUAACCUUAAAGACCCAGCUACCUCUACGCAAAUGGUAGCUACCUCUGCGCAGGUGGAAGUUGAGUUCGGUUCACGCGGGACCCUCUUCCCUGUGGCAAGCUGCUGAAGGAGACCUGCUGUUACUGCUUUAGCUGCUGUUCUGCUUAAUCUCAGACAGCUGGAAGGUAGUAUUCCGCCCUCGCCCAGCCACCCGAGUAAAUGAGAAUGAUGACUGACUGAGACCCUGAUGGUGGUGGCUUAGGCUUAAUCUCAGACAGCUGGAAGGUAGUAUUCCGCCCUCACCCAGCCACCCGAGUAAAUGAGAAUGAUGACUGACUGAGACCCUGAUGGUGGUGGCUUAGGCAAGAUGAACGUCUGAAAUGGAGGCCCAGGGCUGCCACGAUGGCUCUGUAGUCAUCAGGGAGGGAGCUCCUUUUAUCUUGUUACCUACUCCCCUCUUGUGCCCCUUUCUUCCCUUGAUCUAAGAAGGUUGCUCCGGAUCUCGCCAUCUGGCCUGCGUUCAAUCAGCAGAAGCUUCCUGGAGGAGCAGGAGGAGGCACUGUGCUCGCAUCACAUACCAGUGGCCAGAAGUUGGCUUCAGGGAAGCUCAGGAAAUAGGAUGCGAGAAGCCAUGAGACCUCCCCAAACUCUGCAGUAACAGAGUCAACAAGACAAUGGCUUAAAGAUGGAGAGACCAGUUGAUCGGUCACACAAGCUGUUCCACGAUAAUUCUUGUGUCAGAAGGGGAGGCUGACUACCAGGACCACUGGCCCCACUUCCAGCCCCUCCAUUCUGAGUACACUUCAGAGGGCUCUGGCAGGGUGAGGGGGUCUUGGUGGUGCCACAGAGAGUAAAGGUCUAGCACACCCAUUGUGGAGAUAUUUCAUGGGGACAACCCAGUGACUUCACUUGAAGUAAAGUGGGAUUUUCCAACCUUGAGAUUCUUAUUUUCUUUGCACGUGCCCAGCUUCCUUUCAAGUCUCUGGCCAAUGCAAUGUGAGCAGAAGUGAAGGGGCAACUUUCAGGUGAUGACUUGGAAAAGAAAGCUUAGUCCUCUGCUUCUCCUGUCAC